UACGUAGGGUGCGAGCGUUAAUCGGAAUUACUGGGCGUAAAGCGUGCGCAGGCGGUUUUGCAAGCCGGAUGUGAAAUCCCCGGGCUCAACCUGGGAAUGGCAUUCGGGACUGCAAGGCUGGAGUGCGGCAGAGGAGACCGGAAUUCCUGGUGUAGCAGUGAAAUGCGUAGAGAUGUGGAGGAAUACCGAUGGCGAAGGCAGCCCCCUGGGCCAACACUGACGCUCAUGCACGAAAGCGUGGGGAGCAAACAGG
rnacentral:rRNA from 1 species